rnacentral:tRNA from 1 species
GCGGGCGUGCUGGAACUGGUAGACAGUCCAGGUUUAGGUCCUGGUGCUCGAAAGAGCGUGGGGGUUCGAGUCCCUCCGCCCGCA